GAUGAACGCUGGCGGCGUGCCUAAUACAUGCAAGUCGAGCGAAGCGGGGACGGGGGAGUAACACGUGGAUAACCUCCUAUACGACUGGGAUAACUUCGGGCAUCCGGAGCUAAACCGGAUCCUUAUACAUGGAUCCGCGCUGCAUUAGCUAGUUGGGAAGGUAACGGCUUACCAAGGCAACGAGUCAUAGCCGACCUGAUAGGGUGAUCGGCCAAACUGGGACGUAUGCACGGUCCAGACUCCGACGGGAGGCAGCAGUAGGGAAUCUUCCGCAAUGGGCGAAAGCCUGACGUAGCAACGCAGCUUGAGUGAUGAAGGUCUUCUGAUCGUAACACUCUGUUAGUAGGGAAGCGGUACCUAAUCAGAAAGCCACGGCUAACUACGUGCCAGCAGCCGCGGUAAUUC
rnacentral:rRNA from 1 species